rnacentral:rRNA from 1 species
UACGUAGGGCGCAAGCGUUGUCCGGAAUUACUGGGCGUAAAGCGUGCGCAGGCGGUUCGUUAAGUCAGAUGUGAAAGCCCCGGGCUCAACCUGGGAACUGCAUUUGAAACUGGCGGGCUUGAGUGUGGCAGAGGGGGGUGGAAUUCCGCGUGUAGCAGUGAAAUGCGUAGAGAUGCGGAGGAACACCGAUGGCGAAGGCAGCCCCCUGGGCCAACACUGACGCUCAGGCACGAAAGCGUGGGGAGCAAACAGG